AUCUUCUCUUUUGUCUUUAUCUUCAUUUCCCCAUUGCUCCCCAUUCCACCCCAAGAUAGCCAACUGGACCAAGAGGGAGGUCAGGAAAUAAAACGUGGUCAGAAAAGAAAGGGUAUUCACCAACUCAGAAAAGGCACAACAAGGGUGAGACUAAUUAGCCAACAAGGGUGAGAUCAAUUAACCACAAAUUAACAGCAACAAUUGCCACAUGGUCUGGUAAGGGGAUAGUUGAGAGGUCAAAUCUUUUUAAGUCAGCAGAGCAGGCAAGCAUACAGUUUUCCUAGUCAGAUCUUGAUAUUAGAAUUUUAUCUGUUUUUAUUAUCUCUUUUUCCCCAACCUCUCCUUGCCAAUUCUUCUACCUUGGGGUGUUUGCGGUCCCAUUUAUAAGUAAGAUAUGCCCAAAAACAAGAAGAAAAAAGCCAGAACUGAGGCCAGUGUUCCAACUGAGCCCCAACCUGAACCUAAACUUGGACAUAUACCUAACCCUGCACCUGAACUGGGACUUGAACCCACAUGUGUGCCUAAAUCUGCAUCUACAUCUACAGCUACACCUGAACCUGAACCCAGAGAUCUGCCUAAAUCUUCACCCAAAUCUGGACCUGAACCAUCCCGUGUGUCUAAGCGUCCACCUGAACCUAAGGAUCUGCCUAAAUCUCCAUCCAAAUCUGGACCUGAACCCUCACGUGUGUCUAAGCGUCCACCUGAACCUAAGGAUCUGCCUAAAUCUCCAUCCAAAUCUGGACCUGAACCCUCAUGUGUGCCUAAGCGUCCACCUGAACCUAAGGAUCUGCCUAAAUCUGCACCCGAAUCUGGACGUGAAACUAGACAAGGAAAAGAAGACAAUGAAGGACCUAGCACUUCCCCCACCGAAUUGCCACAGAGAAAUCGUGUUCCUGUCCAAAAUGCUCAUGACACAGAGGACUCCAGAUUUCCCUCACAGUCCCACAAUUAUGGGAUCCCAGAACAUCAGGACAUCCCACCAAAAGCUACAUGCAAAAUUCCUCCAGCAGCUUGUCGAGGGUUGGAUUUAAAGAACUUGGGUCAAGCUGUUGCACAAUAUGCUUCAUACUCCUCUGACUCUGUACUAGAUCCUUGUCGUUUCUCCCAAGCACCACCACAGGUCAAAACACAGAAGCCAAGAACCAAUCCAAAUUCAAAGGUUUCUGAGGCUUUGUGCAGUUACUGUUUGAAGGUUCACCCGAGGCCAGGAAAAAGUACUUCUAAGAAGGAAGAGAGCCAUCCCCCUAUAACUUCAACUGAAACUCAAGUGCCAGCCAGACCUCCAAGUCCAAAACUGUGUCUACCUGGACAAGAGGACACGAGGUCAGUGACAGCCCUUAAGAAGGCUAUAGAAAGCUGCAAAACCUAUCUGGAUUACCUUGUAGAACAGCAAACUUGGGCAAUUCAAUUGGUCUUGGUGCUCACGAAGUCAGAGAAAGGCAUUCCUGACGAUGAAGAUAUACAGAGGAUGUUGCAGGUUGACCCAGCAGAACUCAUUCUUGGCCAUAUCUUAGACAAAAAUGAUUAUGGAGCUGCAACAGCAGCAGCAACAUCGAUAGAAACAGCAACAACAGGGGCAUCAACAUCAGCAGAAACAGCUGCAACAGUGGUGGUAGCAGCAGCAACAGAAACAGCUACGACAAUGGCAGCAGCAGAAGUGACAGUAGCGACAGUGGCAGCAGAAACAGCUACAGUAAUGGCAAUAUCAUCUGCAAUAACAGAUGUAGAUGAAGCAGCAGGGGCAGAUGCAGCAGAUGAUGAAGCAGCAGGGGCAGAUGCAGCAGGGGCAGAGGCAGCAGAUGAUGAAGCAGCAGGGGCAGAUGCAGCAGGGGCAGAGGCAGCAGAUGAUGAAGCAGCAGGGGCAGAUGCAGCAGGGGCAGAGGCAGCAGAUGAUGAAGCAGCAGGGGCAGAGGCAGCAGAUGAUGAGGCAGCAGGGGCAGAGGCAGCAGAUGAUGAGGCAGCAGGGGCAGAGGCAGCAGAUGAUGAGGCAGCAGGGGCAGAGGCAGCAGAUGAUGAGGCAGCAGGGGCAGAGGCAGCAGAUGAUGAGGCAGCAGGGGCAGAGGCAGCAGAUGAUGAGGCAGCAGGGGCAGAGGCAGCAGAUGAUGGCAGCAGGGGCAGCAGGGGCAGAGGCAGCAGAUGAUGAGGCAGCAGGGGCAGAGGCAGCAGAUGAUGAGGCAGCAGGGGCAGAGGCAGCAGGGCAGGGCAGGCAGAUGAUGCAGCAGGGGCAGAGGCAGCAGAUGAUGAGGCAGCAGGGGCAGAGGCAGCAGAUGAUGAGGCAGCAGGGGCAGAGGCAGCAGAUGAUGAGGCAGCAGGGGCAGAGGCAGCAGAUGAUGAGGCAGCAGGGGCAGAGGCAGCAGAUGAUGAGGCAGCAGGGGCAGAGGCAGCAGAUGAUGAGGCAGCAGGGGCAGAGGCAGCAGAUGAUGAGGCAGCAGGGGCAGAGGCAGCAGAUGAUGAGGCAGCAGAUGAUGAAGCUGCAGCGGCAGCCGCAGCAGUGGCAGCAGAAGCAGUAGCAACAGCUAGAAUAGUGGCAGCAGAAAGAGCUGUAACAGUGGCAGCAGCACAAGCACUAAUGAAAGAAGCAGAAGCAAGAAUAAAAGCACUAGCAAGAGCAGUAGCAGCAGAUGAUGAAGUUCUCUUUAGAAGACAGACAGACCCUGAAAACCCAGAUAUUACCUGUUCUACAGUAGGGAUUAGAAUUUUUUGGCUUUCUCUGGAGUACAUGGCCCCCGAUUCCGCAGUGAAUUAUGCACUAUAUCUUACUCAAGAAUGCAACCCCUGUACCUUCCAAGAGACUGUGGAAAUAUUUAAAAAGAUGGUGAAAUCUAUCAUAAAAGAGAGAGUUUACUUAAAACUCUUUUCAAAUAUCCAAAUGGCUGACAAAGAAGAUGAGACUGGAAUGCCUCCCCAGUCCGAUCAACCAGAUGAUCACAGUUGACUAUAGUCAGAAUGAGAGAGACCAAGUGCAGCCCAGAUGCUCUCUUAUCAGGAAAUCCGGAUACCAACGGUCAAAUCCAGAAAGUGAUUACAAUCUUAAUGAAUUUUGCAGAAUAUUUGGAAGAUGACUUAUUUUUUCCAGGCCAGUAGACAUUUUAGAGUAGGUAGGACCUGGCAGUUGAGAGCAGUCCCAAGUAUCCAGAAGUAUCUAUAAGAAGCCUGACUCCUACUAGGGUAGUGAUUGUAGCAGAUCCAACAUUAAUACUAGUUUAGUUAAGGAGGGUGUGCAGGUUCCAGUACCUGUUGAAGGGGAUGAGACCUAAUCUUUAGCAUAUGGAGCAAUUACAUUCAAGUUACUCUUGGACAAGGGGAGGGAGUGGACUUUAGUAUACAGUCUCAGCCAUGAUUAAUUAAAGCUGUGCUGUAUGUAGCUUGUUUUUAACAAUUAUAUGAAUGUCAAAGGUGAACUUUAAUAAAGAUCCAAGUCUUUGUUUUUAAUUUUUU
rnacentral:lncRNA from 1 species